GACCCUAUCGACAAGUCUGGUUAAGUCAUAACUCUUUCACUGUUAGAUCCAGGGUUCAAAUCCCUGUGGGGUUA
rfam:Neofusicoccum parvum TCRNP2 chromosome Tnknown NP2_03_scaffold_387, whole genome shotgun sequence.